UCCCCUUCUGAACUUGCAACCGGGUGCGGAUGAGGGUGAAUGGGUAGACACUGACACGGAUCAUCAUUGUCAUUGCCACACCAAACACGUAGAACUUCUUCUUGUCCAGGUGUUCCCACUCGAUGAUCUGGAUGUUGCGUUUGUCCUCCAUGGUGCCUGAAGACCUGGGAUUUGAGCAGCAUGGAGGGAUGUGAAGAAGGAGGUUCUGGGAUAAGAUUCUGGCUCGAGAGAAGGCAGUGUCACCUGGAAGGCAAGGUCAUACAACGGAAAGAACACCAGCAAUCGGGAGAUCCAUGUUGAAUUUCACUUCCAUUACUCAGUAGUAUAAGACUGGAACCAAGUCACUUCACUGAAAUUCAGUUUCCUUGUCUGUUGAAUCAGGCUAAUAAAGCCUGUCAAUGCUGUAUAAGAGUUUUGGUGCAACUCAUAUGAGUUAA